CCCUGGCCAAUCAGCAUCUCCUCAUAGAGAUGAAUUGGAUCAAUGAAUCUCUAUGAGGAAAGUUCAGUGUCUGCAUGCAGAGGGAGGAGACACUGAAUGUUUGGAUGCAUUUUAGGCAGCCAUGACCCAGGAAGGAUCUCUAAUAGCCAUCCGAGGAGUGGCCAGUGAAGUUAUCACUAGGCUGUAAUGUAAACACUGCUUUUUCUCUGAAAAGACAG